rnacentral:rRNA from 1 species
UAGUUCGUGGGUUGGCCUGUCAGCUUGAUUGCGGUAACGAACGAGACCUUUUGGUCAGUUUUAGGAUGGUUGUGGGGGGGGUGGGUCGGAGGUUUGUUUGGGUUUUCUCGAGCGAGCACCCCCAUCCCCCAAAGACCAAACCCUACAAUGACCGACGACAGGCGAUUAGCCUGUGGAAGCAGGAGGCAAAAACAGGU